rnacentral:rRNA from 1 species
UACGUAGGGUGCGAGCGUUAAUCGGAAUUACUGGGCGUAAAGGGCGCGUAGGCGGCAAUUCAAGUCAUCUGUGAAAUCUCCGGGCUUAACCCGGAAAGGUCAGAUGAUACUGCUUUGCUAGAGUGCGGAAGGGGCAAUCGGAAUUCUUGGUGUAGCGGUGGAAUGCGCAGAUAUCAGGAGGAACACCGAUGGCGAAGGCAGGUCUCUGGGCCAUAACUGACGCUGAGAAGCGAAAGCAUGGGGAGCGAACAGG